AACGACUCUCGGCAACGGAUAUCUCGGCUCUCGCAUCGAUGAAGAACGUAGCGAAAUGCGAUACUUGGUGUGAAUUGCAGAAUCCCGUGAACCAUCGAGUUUUUGAACGCAAGUUGCGCCCUAGGCCGUUAGGUCGAGGGCACGUCUGCCUGGGCGUCAAGCAU
rnacentral:rRNA from 1 species